rnacentral:rRNA from 1 species
GACUCCUACGGGCAGGCACGCAGUGGGGAAUAUUGGACAAUGGGCGAAAGCCUGAUCCAGCCAUGCCGCGUGUGUGAAGAAGGUCUUCGGAUUGUAAAGCACUUUAAGUUGGGAGGAAGGGUUGUAGAUUAAUACUCUGCAAUUUUGACGUUACCGACAGAAUAAGCACCGGCUAACUCUGUGCCAGCAGCCGCGGUAAUA